UAGCAUUAGGUUUUUGGAAGAAAGUACAGCGAUGAGUCGGAGCUUAGGCAUACCGGUGAAACUUCUACACGAGGCAACAGGGCAUAUAGUGACUGUAGAGAUGAAAAGCGGCGAGCUUUAUAGAGGAAGUAUGGUCGAGUGCGAGGACAACUGGAAUUGCCAGCUCGAAACCAUCACUUACACUGCUAAAGACGGAAGGGUGUCACAACUGGAACAUGUUUUUAUCCGAGGCAGUAAAGUCAGGUUCAUGAUAAUUCCAGAUAUGCUUAAGAAUGCUCCCAUG
rnacentral:misc_RNA from 1 species